AUGGCUGCCGUCCUGCUCGGCUCCGCGCUGCGCCGCCCCGCCUCCCGCCCGCGACGCCGGCGCGGGCCAAUGAACGCCAAGGCAGGGGGCGGGGCCAGAGCCACAGACCUUCCCCCCGAAGGGGGGCGUAGCCUGGAACAGUUCAUCGAGUGCCAGGGAGCCCUGCCCGAGGACAUGGCGUGCAAGAUGUUCCACCAACUCUCCUCGGCCAUUAAGUACUGCCAUGACCUGGACAUCGUGCACCAGAACCUCAAGUGUUAGAACCUUCUCCUCCACAAGGAUUUCAACAUCAAGCUGUUCUACUUCAGGUUCUCCAAGCUCUGCCUGCGGGAUGACAAUGGCCAACAGAGAUUAAGCAAGACCUUCUGUGGGUCGGUGGCAUAUGCAGCCUCUGAGGUGCAGCAGGCAUCCCCUACCAGCCCAAGGUGUAUGACAUCUGGAGCCUGGGCGUGAUCCUCUACAUCAUGGUCUGCAGCUCCAUGCCCUAGGACGACUCCAACAUCAGGAAGAUGCUGUGUACCCAGAAGGAGCACCACGUGGACUUCCCACACUCCAAGAACCUGACAGAUGAGUGCAAGGACCUCAUCUAGUGCAUGCUGCAGCCCAACAUCAGCCAGCAGCUCCACAUCCAUGACAUUCUCAGCCAAUGCUGGGUGCAGCCCAAGGCACAGGGACUGCCCUCUAUGGUCAUCAACAAGGAGGGGGAAAGCUCCCGGGGAACUGAACUCUUGUGGACCCCUGAACCUGGCUCUGCCAAGAGGUCUGCCACCAAGCUGGAGUCUGGGGAAGAGGCACAGCCCAAGAGACAACCUGAGACAAAACCUGAGGGGUUGGCAAUGCAAAUGUCCAGGCAGUCGGACGUCCUAGGCUUCCCCAGCAAGCCAUCAACCAGGGAGAAAGAGGAAGGGCCCCCCCAAAGGCCUCCAGAGAUUCGCAUCUAGUGAGCAUUUGUGGCCCAGUAUGCCAGCAGUGAAUGAGAUGGAGCUCACACCUUCAGGCCCAAGCUCUGAAGAAGUCAAGGCACAAACCAGAGAAGGAAGACAGUCCCGGAUGAGCCGCGGUUUUCAUCAGUUUCUUCUCUCUCCCCUUGAACUUCAUAACCACAUUGCUAAAGGAGCAAUAAAUCACUAUAUUA